UGGGGAAUUUUGGACAAUGGGCGAAAGCCUGAUCCAGCAAUGCCGCGUGUGUGAAGAAGGCCUUCGGGUUGUAAAGCACUUUUGUCCGGAAAGAAAUGGCUCUGGUUAAUACCUGGGGUCGAUGACGGUACCGGAAGAAUAAGGACCGGCUAACUACGUGCCAGCAGCCGCGGUAAUACGUAGGGUCCAAGCGUUAAUCGGAAUUACUGGGCGUAAAGCGUGCGCAGGCGGUUGUGCAAGACCGAUGUGAAAUCCCCGAGCUUAACUUGGGAAUUGCAUUGGUGACUGCACGGCUAGAGUGUGUCAGAGGGGGGUAGAAUUCCACGUGUAGCAGUGAAAUGCGUAGAGAUGUGGAGGAAUACCGAUGGCGAAGGCAGCCCCCUGGGAUAACACUGACGCUCAUGCACGAAAGCGUGGGGAGCAAACAGGAUUAGAUACCCUGGUAGUCCACGCCCUAAACGAUGUCAACUAGUUGUUGGGAUUCAUUUCCUUAGUAACGUAGCUAACGCGUGAAGUUGACCGCCUGGGGAGUACGGUCGCAAGAUUAAAAGCUC
rnacentral:rRNA from 1 species